AUGCACAGAAGUUACAAACAUUGGAUCAGGCCACACAGCUGCAAACAUUUAUCGAGGGCCACUAUUUGCCCAGGAAGCCCAGAUGAGCAGGAAGACACGCCCUCGGGGCUGGAGAUGUGCACACCUGGGGAAGGAGGUGCACAGCCUGCCUCCUCAGUUCCUCCUCAAAGUCAGCUUUGCUGCAGCCCACCUCCCACCCAGGACCGGCCCCAAGGCCCUUCUAGAUAACCUCGAAAGGAUCUCCGGCACUGAAGUCGAAGGAGAGGAUGAGGUGAACCUCCCGUGUCGGGGGCAGCACGAGUGGGAAGGGAGUGUUGAUGGCUAAACCAGCAUCCACCAGGUGGAGGUGCUUCCGGCUGCUCAUUAUCUUGUCCCGGAUGCCACCUGCAGUGCCAGGAAGAGAGAGGAUCAGCUGUUUCCAGGGGCUGAAAGCAAAACUCGUAAAUGGAAGGC
rnacentral:antisense_RNA from 1 species